GACAAUUUGGCCGAGUGGUUAAGGCGAUUGACUCGAAUCAUUAGACUCGUGAUCAAUUGGGAUUUCCCGCGCAGGUUCAAAUCCUGCAGUUGUCG
rfam:Puccinia sorghi strain RO10H11247 Scaffold_197, whole genome shotgun sequence.